GGUACGACGUGUGAGGCAGCGGGGGGAAGAUGGUGGAGGAAAGUGUUGAACGGAGUUGAUUGGCGUAUAGCGAACGGAGGUGGGUGGCUAAGCUAGCUGUGAAAGCCCCGGGCACAAGCUGUGCACUGGAGGUAGAACUGGCAAGCUAGAGUAGGGUAGAGGGGUGUGGAAUUCCAGGUGUAGCGUUGAAAGGCGUAGAUAUCUGGAGGAACAUCAGUGGCGAAGGCGACACCCUGGACUCAUACUGACACUGAGGUGCGAAAGCGUGGGGAGCAAACAGGAGUAGAUACCCUGGUAGUC
rnacentral:rRNA from 1 species